ACGAACGCUGGCGGCGUGCUUCACCCAUGCCAGUCGAGCGGUAAGGCCUUUCGGGGUACACGAGCGGCGAACGGGUGAGUAACACGUGGGUGAUCUGCCCUGCACUUCGGGAUAAGCCUGGGAAACUGGGUCUAAUACCGGAUAUGACCUCCUAUCGCAUGGUGGGUGGUGGAAAGAUUUAUCGGUGCAGGAUGGGCCCGCGGCCUAUCAGCUUGUUGGUGGGGUAAUGGCCUACCAAGGCGACGACGGGUAGCCGACCUGAGAGGGUGACCGGCCACACUGGGACUGAGACACGGCCCAGACUCCUACGGGAGGCAGCAGUGGGGAAUAUUGCACAAUGGGCGAAAGCCUGAUGCAGCGACGCCGCGUGAGGGAUGACGGCCUUCGGGUUGUAAACCUCUUUCAGCAGGGACGAAGCGCAAGUGACGGUACCUGCAGAAGAAGCACCGGCUAACUACGUG
rnacentral:rRNA from 1 species